rnacentral:rRNA from 1 species
AUGAACGCUGGCGGCGUGCCUAAUACAUGCAAGUCGAGCGAACAGAUGAGGAGCUUGCUCCUCUGACGUUAGCGGCGGACGGGUGAGUAACACGUGGAUAACCUACCUAUAAGACUGGGAUAACUUCGGGAAACCGGAGCUAAUACCGGAUAAUAUAUUGAACCGCAUGGUUCAAUAGUGAAAGACGGUUUUGCUGUCACUUAUAGAUGGAUCCGCGCCGCAUUAGCUAGUUGGUAAGGUAACGGCUUACCAAGGCGACGAUGCGUAGCCGGCCUGAGAGGGUGAUCGGCCACACUGGAACUGAGACACGGUCCAGACUCCUACGGGAGGCAGCAGUAGGGAAUCUUCCGCAAUGGGCGAAAGCCUGACGGAGCAACGCCGCGUGAGUGAUGAAGGUCUUCGGAUCGUAAAACUCUGUUAUUAGGGAAGAACAAAUGUGUAAGUAACUAUGCACGUCUUGACGGUACCUAAUCAGAAAGCCACGGCUAACUACGUG